GCCAGGCGUGGUGGUGCAUGCCUGUAGUCCCAGCUACUCGGGAGGCUGAGGUGGGAGGAUCGCUUGAGCUCAGGAGUUCUGGGCUGUCAUGCGCUAUGCCGAUCGGGUAUCCGCAGUUCGGCAUCAAUACAGUGACCUCCUGGGAGUGAGGGACAGGACCACCAGGUUGUCUAAGGAGGGGUCAACAGGCCCAGGUUGGAAACGGAGCAGGUCAAAACCACUGUGCUGAUCAGUAGUGGGAUCGCGCCUGUGAAUCGCCACUGCACUCCAGCCUGAGCAACAUAGUGAGACCCCGUCUCA
rnacentral:SRP_RNA from 1 species